AGAGUUUGAUCAUGGCUCAGGACGAACGCUGGCGGCGUGCCUAAUACAUGCAAGUAGAACGCUGAAGAAAGGAGCUUGCUUCUUUUGGAUGAGUUGCGAACGGGUGAGUAACGCGUAGGUAACCUGCCUUGUAGCGGGGGAUAACUAUUGGAAACGAUAGCUAAUACCGCAUAACAGCUUUUGACACAUGUUAGAAGCUUGAAAGAUGCAAUUGCAUCACUACGAGAUGGACCUGCGUUGUAUUAGCUAGUAGGUAGGGUAACGGCCUACCUAGGCGACGAUACAUAGCCGACCUGAGAGGGUGAUCGGCCACACUGGGACUGAGACACGGCCCAGACUCCUACGGGAGGCAGCAGUAGGGAAUCUUCGGCAAUGGGGGCAACCCUGACCGAGCAACGCCGCGUGAGUGAAGAAGGUUUUCGGAUCGUAAAGCUCUGUUGUAAGAGAAGAAUGUGUGUGAGAGUGGAAAGUUCACACAGUGACGGUAACUUACCAGAAAGGGACGGCUAACUACGUGCCAGCAGCCGCGGUAAUACGUAGGUCCCGAGCGUUGUCCGGAUUUAUUGGGCGUAAAGCGAGCGCAGGCGGUUUAAUAAGUCUGAAGUUAAAGGCAGUGGCUUAACCAUUGUUCGCUUUGGAAACUGUUAAACUUGAGUGCAGAAGGGGAGAGUGGAAUUCCAUGUGUAGCGGUGAAAUGCGUAGAUAUAUGGAGGAACACCGGUGGCGAAAGCGGCUCUCUGGUCUGUAACUGACGCUGAGGCUCGAAAGCGUGGGGAGCAAACAGGAUUAGAUACCCUGGUAGUCCACGCCGUAAACGAUGAGUGCUAGGUGUUAGGCCCUUUCCGGGGCUUAGUGCCGCAGCUAACGCAUUAAGCGCUCCGCCUGGGGAGUACGACCGCAAGGUUGAAACUCAAAGGAAUUGACGG
rnacentral:rRNA from 1 species